CCUACGGGAGGCAGCAGUGAGGAAUAUUGGUCAAUGGCCGGAAGGCUGAACCAGCCAUGCCGCGUGAAGGUCAGUGCCCUAUGGGCGUUAAACUUCUUUUGUGCGGGAGCAAUAAUGGUCACGUGUGGCCAGACGAGAGUACCGUACGAAUAAGCAUCGGCUAACUCCGUGCCAGCAGCCGCGGUAAUACGGGGGAUGCAAGCGUUAUCCGGAUUUAUUGGGUUUAAAGGGGGCGUAGGCUGUGAGGUAAGUCAGCGGUGAAAUGCCCCCGCUCAACGGGGUGAAGUGCCAUUGAUACUGCCUGGCUGGAAUGCGGAUGCCGUGGGAGGAAUGUGUGGUGUAGCGGUGAAAUGCAUAGAUAUCACACAGAACACCGAUUGCGAAGGCAUCUCACGAAUCCGCGAUUGACGCUGAUGCACGAAAGCGUGGGUAUCAAACAGGAUUAGAUACCCUGGUAGUC
rnacentral:rRNA from 1 species